rnacentral:rRNA from 1 species
GAUGAACGCUGGCGGCGUGCCUAAUACAUGCAAGUCGAGCGAACGGACGAGAAGCUUGCUUUUCUGAUGUUAGCGGCGGACGGGUGAGUAACACGUGGAUAACCUACCUAUAAGACUGGGAUAACUACGGGAAACCGGAGCUACUACCGGAGAAUAUUUUGAACCGCAUGGUUCAAAAGUGAAAGACGGUCUUGCUGUCACUUAUAGAUGGAUCCGCGCUGCAUUAGCUAGUUGGUAAGGUAACGGCUUACCAAGGCAACGAUGCAUAGCCGACCUGAGAGGGUGAUCAGCCACACUGGAACUGAGACACGGUCCAGACUCCUACGGGAGGCAGCAGUAGGGAAUCUUCCGCAAUGGGCGAAAGCCUGACGGAGCAACGCCGCGUGAGUGAUGAAGGUCUUCGGAUCGUAAAGCUCUGUUAUUAGGGAAGAACAUAUGUGUAAGUAACUGUGCACAUCUUGACGGUACCUAAUCAGAAAGCCACGGCUAACUACGUG